rnacentral:rRNA from 1 species
GAUGAACGCUGGCGGCGUGCCUAAUACAUGCAAGUCGAGCGAACAGACGAGGAGCUUGCUCCUCUGACGUUAGCGGCGGACGGGUGAGUAACACGUGGAUAACCUACCUAUAAGACUGGGAUAACUUCGGGAAACCGGAGCUAAUACCGGAUAAUAUAUUGAACCGCAUGGUUCAAUAGUGAAAGACGGGUUUGCUGUCACUUAUAGAUGGAUCCGCGCCGCAUUAGCUAGUUGGUAAGGUAACGGCUUACCAAGGCAACGAUGCGUAGCCGACCUGUGAGGGUGAUCGGCCACACUGGAACUGAGACACGGUCCAGACUCCUGCGGGAGGCAGCAGUAGGGAAUCUUCCGCAAUGGGCGAAAUCUUGACGGAGCAACGCCGCGUCAGUGAUGAAGGUCUUCGGAUCGUAAAACUCUGUUAUUAGGGAAGAACAAAUGUGUAAGUAACUAUGCACGUCUUGACGGUACCUAAUCAGAAAGCCACGGCUAACUACGUG